UGCGCAGGCGGCCGGGUGUGUGAGGCGUGAAAGCCCGAUGCUUAACAUCGGAAUUGCACCUCAAACUACACGGCUAGAGCAUUGGAGAGGGUAGCGGAAUUCACGGUGUAGCAGUGAAAUGCGUAGAUAUCGUGAGGAACACCAGAGGCGAAGGCGGCUACCUGGACAAUUGCUGACGCUCAGGCACGAAAGGCUGGGGAAGCAAAAG
rnacentral:rRNA from 1 species